AUGAACGCCGGCGGUGUGCCUAAUACAUGCAAGUCGUACGCACUGGACCAACUGAUUGAUGGUGCUUGCACCUGAUUGACGAUGGAUCACCAGUGAGUGGCGGACGGGUGAGUAACAUGUAGGGUAACCUGCCCCGGAGCGGGGGAUAACAUUUGGAAACAGAUGCUAAUACCGCAUAACAACAAAAGCCACAUGGCUUUUGUUUGAAAGAUGGCUUUGGCUAUCACUCUGGGAUGGACCUGCGGUGCAUUAGCUAGUUGGUAAGGUAACGGCUUACCAAGGCGAUGAUGCAUAGCCGAGUUGAGAGACUGAUCGGCCACAAUGGAACUGAGACACGGUCCAUACUCCUACGGGAGGCAGCAGUAGGGAAUCUUCCACAAUGGGCGCAAGCCUGAUGGAGCAACACCGCGUGAGUGAAGAAGGGUUUCGGCUCGUAAAGCUCUGUUGGUAGUGAAGAAAGAUAGAGGUAGUAACUGGCCUUUAUUUGACGGUAAUUACUUAGAAAGUCACGGCUAACUACGUGCCAGCAGCCGCGGUAAUACGUAGGUGGCAAGCGUUGUCCGGAUUUAUUGGGCGUAAAGCGAGUGCAGGCGGUUCAAUAAGUCUGAUGUGAAAGCCUUCGGCUCAACCGGAGAAUUGCAUCAGAAACUGUUGAACUUGAGUGCAGAAGAGGAGAGUGGAACUCCAUGUGUAGCGGUGGAAUGCGUAGAUAUAUGGAAGAACACCAGUGGCGAAGGCGGCUCUCUGGUCUGCAACUGACGCUGAGGCUCGAAAGCAUGGGUAGCGAACAGGAUUAGAUACCCUGGUAGUCCAUGCCGUAAACGAUGAGUGCUAAGUGUUGGGAGGUUUCCGCCUCUCAGUGCUGCAGCUAACGCAUUAAGCACUCCGCCUGGGGAGUACGACCGCAAGGUUGAAACUCAAAGGAAUUGACGGGGGCCCGCACAAGCGGUGGAGCAUGUGGUUUAAUUCGAAGCAACGCGAAGAACCUUACCAGGUCUUGACAUCCAGUGCAAACCUAAGAGAUUAGGUGUUCCCUUCGGGGACGCUGAGACAGGUGGUGCAUGGCUGUCGUCAGCUCGUGUCGUGAGAUGUUGGGUUAAGUCCCGCAACGAGCGCAACCCUUGUCAUUAGUUGCCAUCAUUAAGUUGGGCACUCUAAUGAGACUGCCGGUGACAAACCGGAGGAAGGUGGGGAUGACGUCAAGUCAUCAUGCCCCUUAUGACCUGGGCUACGCACGUGCUACAAUGGACGGUACAACGAGAAGCGAACCUGCGAAGGCAAGCGGAUCUCUUAAAGCUGUUCUCAGUUCGGACUGUAGGCUGCAACUCGCCUACACGAAGCUGGAAUCGCUAGUAAUCGCGGAUCAGCACGCCGCGGUGAAUACGUUCCCGGGCCUUGCACUCACCGCCCGUCA
rnacentral:rRNA from 1 species